GGCCGGCGGAAAGCAAAGGGCCGAAGGAAUCGGGUUGUGCCCCAGGACAAGGCGCGCGGAACGAGUGGACUCCGAAACCCACGGAAAUGAAGCGAGACCCCAGGCGGGCGGCGGUGGAGGCGCCUUGCGACCUUGGGUGACUGACAAGCAGGAUGCCUGGGUUCCGAUCCCCACCCCAGUCUGGCCGCCUCUCCCUGACCCUUAGCCCUACCGCUGCCUGCUGAUGUGUCCACCACCCUCAUUCUCGGUCAGGCCAGCAUAUAUCAGCUCACCAGGAUAUGACUGGAACAUGUCCCUCCCCGACAACAUGGUGUCCAGCCCCUGCCCCACCCCACCACCCACCCUUCCCUCUGAAGGCAGCAUGCUCUGCAGUAUUCCUGCUCCUACCUCGUUAUCCCAACCCUGA